UAGGGAAUCUUCGGCAAUGGACGGAAGUCUGACCGAGCAACGCCGCGUGAGUGAAGAAGGUUUUCGGAUCGUAAAGCUCUGUUGUUAGAGAAGAACGUUGGUAGGAGUGGAAAAUCUACCAAGUGACGGUAACUAACCAGAAAGGGACGGCUAACUACGUGCCAGCAUCCACGGUAAUACGUAGGUCCCGAGCGUUGUCCGGAUUUAUUGGGCGUAAAGCGAGCGCAGGCGGUUCUUUAAGUCUGAAGUUAAAGGCAGUGGCUUAACCAUUGUACGCUUUGGAAACUGUAGGACUUGAGUGCAGAAGGGGAGAGUGGAAUUCCAUGUGUAGCGGUGAAAUGCGUAGAUAUAUGGAGGAACACCGGUGGCGAAAGCGGCUCUCUGGUCUGUAACUGACGCUGAGGCUCGAAAGCGUGGGGAGCAAACAGG
rnacentral:rRNA from 1 species